GACGAACGCUGGCGGCGUGCUUAACACAUGCAAGUCGAACGGAAAGGCUCCAGCUUGCUGGAGUACUCGAGUGGCGAACGGGUGAGUAACACGUGGGUAAUCUGCCCUGCACUCUGGGAUAAGCCUGGGAAACUGGGUCUAAUACUGGAUAUGACCUUUCUCCUUAUGGGGUUUGGUGGAAAGUUUUUCGGUGUAGGAUGAGCCCGCGGCCUAUCAGCUUGUUGGUGGGGUGAUGGCCUACCAAGGCGACGACGGGUAGCCGGCCUGAGAGGGUGAUCGGCCACAUUGGGACUGAGAUACGGCCCAGACUCCUACGGGAGGCAGCAGUGGGGAAUAUUGCACAAUGGGCGGAAGCCUCAUGCAGCGACGCCGCGUGAGGGAUGACGGCCUUCGGGUUGUAAACCUCUUUCAGCAGGGACGAAGCGUAAGUGACGGUACCUGCAGAAGAAGCACCGGCUAACUACGUG
rnacentral:rRNA from 1 species